rnacentral:misc_RNA from 1 species
GGAAAUAAAUAAGCUGUUUACGCUGAACACUAGUUUUUCAGUUUUUCCCCUUGACCAGUUUGAGUGGCUCUUCACCAAGGAGCGACACAAAAUAUUGAAUUCUACUUCGAAUGCUGGAGGGAACUAUAUGCUUAAAUGUUUCCAGUGACGGGUGCAUAUGCGCAUCCAUCAGUGCAGACGAAAGGCGCUGAGGCAGACUGGACGCCCAUACAAUGCACAGACAGGGAGUGUAGCCACUCCUUGAUGAAGGCUCCGCAUCUGCACUGUCCAUUCUGCUCCCAGGACAGUCUCUUCACUGAGGAGAUUCUCCUCAAGGCGCACUACGUACAGGGUCAAGUACGUGGAUAAAGGCAUCAACUUUGGGGGAUGUCAACCAGAUCUUCACCACAUACACUGACCCAGCACCCAACAGUACCAGCCUGGUAACACACCUCAUAGUCCCCCAGUCACAGCAGCCAUCGGAGACAGACACAUCAUCCCCGGGGCUAUGAGCAGACUGAUGGGCAGCAGCCGCAGAUCGAGUACCAGUAUGCCUGCAUCAAUGAUCCGAGUCAGAGCACUGCCAAUGGGGAAGUUGUCCUUAUUGAAAUACCAGAUGAAGGAAGCAAAGAGGAUUUGGAGGACGAGACUUGCUACACAGAGCACAACUUGUCGCUGCUGCUGCAGGAGAAGGAAAGUCUGGAGAAGACUCUUGAGGAGGAGCGGACCACGUGGGCCCAGACAGAGCACAGAAUGAAAGGUACUAUAGAAAGGCUUCGUACAAAGGUUGAGUAUUUGUCCAACACAAACAUGUCACUCAAGCAGCAGCUGUCCAUGAUUCACACGUCCAGUUUGAAACAUCUAACCAACGACAGUGAGAACCAGUCCAUUUUGCAAGAGUUACUGCAACACAUGUCUGAGG